rnacentral:lncRNA from 1 species
CUCCUUCUCCAGCUUGAAAAAAGCCAGUGUUCCUUUGUCAGAGAAAAUAGCUUAUUUUUAUGUCUUGUGUUGGUUGUUGGUCAGUGAAAGUUUUGUUGAUAUUAUUUUGUAGCCACUCCUUCAGAGGUAAGACCUGGGCGGACCACCCCCUGUAUUUUUGGUAUACUGUAUGUGACCAGAAUCCUUACUGGAGUUCUGUACACGUAACUUGUUCAGGUCAGUAUUUUUUUUUGAAUUACAUUUUUUUCAAUUGUAACUACCCAUUUACUUCCACUGCUAUUACUUCUACCUCAACGUAUCAUAUUGAGGUGUAAUGUUUCUACCUCAGCAUAAUAUUGAGGUAUUACGGUUAUACUUCAGUAUGAUAUUGAGCAACAACUGCUCUACCUCAGUAUGAUAUUGAGGUAUAAUGGCUCUACCUCAGUAUGAUAUUGAGGUAUAAUGGCUCUACCUCAGUAUGAUAUUGAGGUAUAAUGGCUCUACCUCAGUAUGAUAUUGAGGUAUAACUGCUCUACUUCGGUAUGAUAUAUAACGGCUCUACCGCAGAAUGAUAUUGAGGUAUAAUGGCUCUACCUCAGUAUGACAUUCUGGUAUAACGGCUCUACCUCAGUAAGAUAUUGAGGUAUAACAGCUUUACCUCAGAAGGAUAUUUAUCACGUUUAGACCCAGAUGCAGACAGUGUAGAAGUAACAAGAGUUUAUUAGAACCACAGUGGCAGGCAAAUGACAGGUCAAGGCAGGCAGGGGUCAGUAUUCCAGAAAGGGUGUAAAGGGUCCAGAAUGGCAGGCGGUCUCAGGGUCAGGGCAGGCAGGGGUCAAUAAUCCAGAACGGCGGGGUAAGGUACAAAACGGCAGGCAGUCUCAGGUUCAGGGCAGGCAGAAUGGUCAAAACCGGGACGGACUAGAAAGCAGGAGCAGGAAAACAGGCAGGAGCAGGGAAACAAACACUGGUAGGUUUUACGAACAAAACGAACUUGAGGUAUAAUGGCUCUACCUCAGUAUGAUAUUGAGGUUUAACAGCUCAACUUCAGUAUGAUAUUGAGGUAUAACUGCUCUUCCUCGGUAUGAUAUUGAGGUAUAAGGGCUCUACUUCAGUAUGAUAUUGAUGUAAAGCAGUUCUAAUUUUUUGCUGCCAUAUCUCUUGGCUCAGAGCCAGCUCACAGAGACCAGCUCCAGUAAUUCCACCUUAGACUUCUCCUUCUCCUCCUUGUCCUCCACCACUCUCUCUCUCCAGCGUCGACGCGACCAACAGCGGCCAGGUCUCUGCAUAUCAGAUGAUUAUUGGUUUAUUUUUGUUGUCUUUUUAACUUUAGCCUCUUCUAUUUUCUACACUGUUCCCUAUUUUUCUUCAAUCUGUUAUUGUUAAUCAGUCUCUUUCAGAAUUAUUUUGUGUAGUAUAUAAACAGUAUGUGUGUUUGCAUGUGUGUGUGCGUGAGCGUGCGUGCGUGCAUGCACGCCUGUGUUCCAGUGUGCAGGUGGUAAGGUGGUGGGGGUCAGGGAGGUGUGUGGGGUUUGCCUCCUCAGUGGAGGAGCCCUGAGCCUCUGUUUUCAGUGUCUACACACCUGCUGUCACAUCCCAAAGUUGGUCAGACUCCAAAAACUCAGGAGCAGAGCUCCUCUCUCUCAGAGACCAUCCUACACAAGUAUGAACUAGACUUCAUCGUGGGAGAGCAGGGCUCCAUAGAUGGGAUCCUCCAGUUGGCUUUCCACAAUAUUUCCAGGCCCCUCUCAGAUACUCAGGGCAACUUCCAAUGAAACACGCACGCACCUAAAAGCGCACACACACACACACACACAAGCAUUCUUGUGCACUCAUACACCAAGUUCUGGACAUUUGUUAUGGACAUUUGUCCGUCUCUCGCCAUCUCUGUCUCUCUCUCUCGCCAUCUCUGUCUCUGUCUCUCUCUCGCCAUCUCUGUCUCUCUCUCUCGCCAUCUCUGUCUCUCUCUCUCGCCAUCUCUGUCUCUCUGUCUCUCCGUCUCUUUGUCUCUCUCGUUGUCUCUCGUUGUCUCUCUCUGUCUCGUUG